rnacentral:rRNA from 1 species
GAUGAACGCUGGCGGCGUGCCUAAUACAUGCAAGUCGAGCGAACGGACGAGAAGCUUGCUUCUCUGAUGUUAGCGGCGGACGGGUGAGUAACACGUGGAUAACCUACCUAUAAGACUGGGAUAACUUCGGGAAACCGGAGCUAAUACCGGAUGAUAUUUUGAACCGCAUGGUUCAAAAGUGAAAGACGGUCUUGCUGUCACUUAUAGAUGGAUCCGCGCUGCAUUAGCUAGUUGGUAAGGUAAUGGCUUACCAAGGCAACGAUGCAUAGCCGACCUGAGAGGGUGAUCGGCCACACUGGAACUGAGACACGGUCCAGACUCCUACGGGAGGCAGCAGUAGGGAAUCUUCCGCAAUGGGCGAAAGCCUGACGGAGCAACGCCGCGUGAGUGAUGAAGGUCUUCGGAUCGUAAAACUCUGUUAUUAGGGAAGAACAUAUGUGUAAGUAACUGUGCACAUCUUGACGGUACCUAAUCAGAAAACCACGGCUAACUACGU